UUCACGAAGUGUAAAGUACUAUUUCCUUAUAACACGAUGUUGCUCAAGUUUGGUCUUGUGCUCACUGUUCUUCUCGUGACAACCACUAUCAACUUGUCAUGGUUCUCAAGUUCUAAAGUGGAGGCGAUUCAGAAUGUUGAGCAUGAUCUCUCAAGACUGACUCGAAAGAAGCUUACUCCCUCGUCUUAAUGACUUUUUAACUUGUGGGAGAACUUGUGAAAUCGGAAAAGAGUGCAACGAUUGCUGGAUUUGUUGUUCUUGUCUGUUUGGUUAUUGCGACAUAGUUAUGCCGUAGAAUACGUGCAAAUUGCACAUAAUUUUGCAAAUGCAACAAACACUAGUACAAGUCCCUACUAUGAAUCUGUAUCUUGGUUUGAAUUUAGUGUUUCUUUCAAUGUUUCCUUGUAUUUUAGUCGUUGUACGAAUAAAGGAAAAAGUUAAUUGAAUGACUUUCUAUUUAACAAUAAAGGAUAUCGACUUCAAAGGUGA